rnacentral:rRNA from 1 species
AUUGAACGCUGGCGGCAUGCUUUACACAUGCAAGUCGAACGGCAGCGCGGGCUUCGGCCUGGCGGCGAGUGGCGAACGGGUGAGUAAUACAUCGGAACGUGCCCAGUCGUGGGGGAUAGCACGGCGAAAGCCGGAUUAAUACCGCAUACGACCUGAGGGUGAAAGCGGGGGAUCUUCGGACCUCGCGCUAUUGGAGCGGCCGAUGGCAGAUUAGCUAGUUGGUGGGGUAAAGGCCUACCAAGGCGACGAUCUGUAGCUGGUCUGAGAGGACGACCAGCCACACUGGGACUGAGACACGGCCCAGACUCCUACGGGAGGCAGCAGUGGGGAAUUUUGGACAAUGGGCGAAAGCCUGAUCCAGCAAUGCCGCGUGUGUGAUGAAGGCCUUCGGGUUGUAAAGCACUUUUGGCGGGAACGAAAAGGACUGUGCCAAUACCACGGUUCGAUGACGGUACCCGCAGAAUAAGCACCGGCUAACUACGUG